rnacentral:rRNA from 1 species
UGGAUCCAGACUUUGAUCAUGGCUCAGGACGAACGCUGGCGGCGCGCCUAACACAUGCAAGUCGAACGGAGCUUAGAGAGCUUGCUUUUUAAGCUUAGUGGCGAACGGGUGAGUAACGCGUGAGUAACCUGCCCUAGAGUGGGGGACAACAGUUGGAAGCGACUGCUAAUACCGCAUAAGCCCACGGUACCGCAUGGUACUGAGGGAAAAGGAUUUAUUCGCUUUAGGAUGGACUCGCGUCCAAUUAGCUAGUUGGUGAGGUAACGGCCCACCAAGGCGACGAUUGGUAGCCGGACUGAGAGGUUGAACGGCCACAUUGGGACUGAGACACGGCCCAGACUCCUACGGGAGGCAGCAGUGGGGGAUAUUGCACAAUGGGGGAAACCCUGAUGCAGCGACGCCGCGUGGAGGAAGAAGGUUUUCGGAUUGUAAACUCCUGUCGUUAGGGACGAUAAUGACGGUACCUAACAAGAAAGCACCGGCUAACUACGUGCCAGCAGCCGCGGUAAAACG